rnacentral:lncRNA from 1 species
CUGUCUGGCAGAGUGACUCCAGGGUAUCAGAUUAUUUAUCAUUUUUCCCCUUAUUUUCCCUAGGUUCUUCCAAUCCUCAGCUCCCACAGACUUCAUAUUUCUUCCUGAAAAAAGUACAAAAGCUCUAAUGCAUUUCAACUUGUCCAAAUGGGCCCUCAAUAUGGAAGAUGACUUCAGUCUCUCAAAUAGGACAACACCUGAGUAGAAUCAUGGCUCCUCUACUCAGGAGCAGCAGCUAAAGAGAAGGAAGAGCAGCUUGUGCUGUGACCUUGGGUAAGUCCUUGGGCUUAUCUGUGCCUCAGUUUCCUCCUCUAUUGAGUC